rnacentral:miRNA from 1 species
GCAGCGUGUCAAAUGAGAAAGU